rnacentral:lncRNA from 1 species
UGACCCCACGGCGCUCAGGGCGCGCUCGGCCUUCGAGGCCUGGCCGCCAUACACCAGCCCCCAACCGCUUCCAACCACCCCAGCAUCACCUCUUAGGGCGUUCCAACGCGGCGCCCCCUA